rnacentral:rRNA from 1 species
CCUACGGGUGGCAGCAGUGAGGAAUAUUGGUCAAUGGACGAGAGUCUGAACCAGCCAAGUAGCGUGAAGGAUGACUGCCCUAUGGGUUGUAAACUUCUUUUAUAUGGGAAUAACAUGUUCCACGUGUGGCAUUUUGUAUGUACCAUAUGAAUAAGGAUCGGCUAACUCCGUGCCAGCAGCCGCGGUAAUACGGAGGAUCCGAGCGUUAUCCGGAUUUUUUGGGUUUAAAGGGAGCGUAGGUGGAUUGUUAAGUCAGUUGUGAAAGUUUGCGGCUCAACCGUAAAAUUGCAGUUGAAACUGGCAUUCUUGAGUACAGUAGAGGUAGGCGGAAUUCGUGGUGUAGCGGUGAAAUGCUUAGAUAGCACGAAGAACUCCGAUUGCGAAGGCAGCUCACUGGACUGCAACUGACACGGAGGCUCGAAAGUGUGGGUAUCAAACAGGAUUAGAUACCCCAGUAGUG